UAGCUCAGUGGCAGAGCACAUGCUUAGCAUGCAUGAGACCCUGGAUUUAAUACCCAG
rnacentral:tRNA from 1 species